UCCGGCUUAUCACCGGCGGUUUCUUUAGAGUGCCCAACUAAAUGAUGGCAACUAAAGACGAGGGUUGCGCUCGUUGCGGGACUUAACCCAACAUCUCACGACACGAGCUGACGACGGCCAUGCAGCACCUCUAUGGCGGCCCCCGAAGGGGAAGGCCUGUUUCCAGACCCGUCCACCACAGUUCAAGCCCAGGUAAGGUUCUUCGCGUUGCAUCGAAUUAAACCACAUACUCCACCGCUUGUGCGGGCCCCCGUCAAUUCCUUUGAGUUUCAACCUUGCGGCCGUACUCCCCAGGCGGAGAACUUAGCGCGUUAGCUUCGACACCGAUUCGCAGAGCAAACCGACGUCAAGUUCUCAUCGUUUACGGCGUGGACUAC
rnacentral:misc_RNA from 1 species